UACGUAGGGGGCAAGCGUUGUCCGGAAUCAUUGGGCGUAAAGAGCGUGUAGGCGGCCCGGUAAGUCUGUUGUGAAAGUCCAGGGCUCAACCCUGGAAAGCCGAUGGAUACUGCCGGGCUAGAGUUCGGAAGAGGCGAGUGGAAUUCCUGGUGUAGCGGUGGAAUGCGCAGAUAUCAGGAGGAACACCUAUAGCGAAGGCAGCUCGCUGGGACGACACUGACGCUGAGACGCGAAAGCGUGGGGAGCAAACAGG
rnacentral:rRNA from 1 species